UGCAUAUACCCUCAUUAUUGAAGCAAUUUCCCACCCUUACUUAAUCUCCAUCAAAAGCCCUUGAUCUUCUUCUUCAAUCUCAAGCUUUUUCCCUCCUUUUUUGCAUCUUUUGCUCCAAUCUCACGUACUGACAAAAUCUCCCAAAAACCUAGCUUCUUUUCCAACUUUUAAAAUAUAUAGUAACCUCACUUUUUCUUAACUAUUAUCUUUGCCCAAUUUAAC
rnacentral:lncRNA from 1 species